AAAUGCUUGACUCUGU
rnacentral:rRNA from 1 species